AAAUUGAAGAGUUUGAUCAUGGCUCAGAUUGAACGCUGGCGGCAGGCCUAACACAUGCAAGUCGAACGGUAACAGGAAGAAGCUUGCUUCUUUGCUGACGAGUGGCGGACGGGUGAGUAAUGUCUGGGAAACUGCCUGAUGGAGGGGGAUAACUACUGGAAACGGUAGCUAAUACCGCAUAACGUCGCAAGACCAAAGAGGGGGACCUUCGGGCCUCUUGCCAUCGGAUGUGCCCAGAUGGGAUUAGCUUGUUGGUGGGGUAACGGCUCACCUAGGCGACGAUCCCUAGCUGGUCUGAGAGGAUGACCAGCCACACUGGAACUGAGACACGGUCCAGACUCCUACGGGAGGCAGCAGUGGGGAAUAUUGCACAAUGGGCG
rnacentral:rRNA from 1 species